rnacentral:rRNA from 1 species
UACAGAGGCCCCAAGCAUUACCCGGAAUCAUUGGGCGUAAAGGGUGUCCAGGCGGCCAUAUUAGUCGUUCGUUAAAUCCACGGGCCUAACCUGUGGGCUGCGAGCGAAACGGUAUGGCUAGAGGACGCGAGAGGUACAGGGAACUCAUGGUGGAGGGGUGAAAUCCGUUGAUAUCAUGGGGAACACCAAAGGCGAAGGCACUGUACUGGCGCGUUUCUGACGCUCACACACGAAAGCCAGGGUAGCGAACGGG